rnacentral:rRNA from 1 species
GACGAACGCUGGCGGCGUGCCUAAUACAUGCAAGUCGAACGCACAGUUUAUACCGUAGCUUGCUACACCAUAAACUGUGAGUUGCGAACGGGUGAGUAACGCGUAGGUAACCUGCCUGGUAGCGGGGGAUAACUAUUGGGAACGAUAGCUAAUACCGCAUAAUAUUGAUUAUUGCAUGAUAAUUGAUUGAAAGAUGCUAUUGCAUCACUACCAGAUGGACCUGCGUUGUAUUAGCUAGUAGGUGAGGUAACGGCUCACCUAGGCGACGAUACAUAGCCGACCUGAGAGGGUGAUCGGCCACACUGGGACUGAGACACGGCCCAGACUCCUACGGGAGGCAGCAGUAGGGAAUCUUCGGCAAUGGACGAAAGUCUGACCGAGCAACGCCGCGUGAGUGAAGAAGGUUUUCGGAUCGUAAAGCUCUGUUGUAAGAGAAGAACGGGUGUGAGAGUGGAAAGUUCACACUGUGACGGUAUCUUACCAGAAAGGGACGGCUAACUACGUG